rnacentral:rRNA from 1 species
AAAGUCGUAACAAGGUUUCCGUAGGUGAACCUGCGGAAGGAUCAUUAUUGAUUGUGAAUCGUUGCCUCCAGUGCUGGCUCUCGCAAGUGCACGGUUGGUGACUUUCAUCCAACACCCUGUGAACCUUUGGCCUCUUGCUAGCUUCGGCUGGCAGAGGAUUUUUACACACACUCGAAUGUAAUGAAAUUAUUGUCGUGCGCAAGCACUUAUGUACAACUUUCAACAACGGAUCUCUUGGCUCUCGCAUCGAUGAAGAACGCAGCGAAAUGCGAUAAGUAAUGUGAAUUGCAGAAUUCAGUGAAUCAUCGAAUCUUUGAACGCACCUUGCACCCUUUGGCAUUCCGAAGGGUAUGCUCGUUUGAGUGUCAUUGUACUCUCACACUUCUGAUCCUUUGGAUUUGGAGCGGUGGACUUGGGUGUUGCCACUUGACGGUGGCUCACCUCUAAUGCAUUAGUGCAACUCCUGGUUGGACCAUAGUACGGCGUGAUAAGUGUCUUCGCCGGCACCUCGUGAGAGGGUGGCCGAUCGAGAGCUCUGUGCUUUCAAACCGUCCUUGCAAGGACAAUGACUGACAACUUGACCUCAAAUCGAGUAGGACUACCCGCUGAACUUAAGCAUAUCAAUAAGCGGAGGAAAAGAAACUAACAAGGUUC